UGAGGAAUAUUGGGCAAUGCCCGCAAGGGUGACCCAGCAACGCCGCGUGGAGGAUGAAUGUCGUAAGAUUGUAAACUCCUGUUAGAGGGGAAGAAUAGUACCGGUUGGACCGGUAUAUGACUGUACCCUCAGAGAAAGCCCCGGCUAACUACGUGCCAGCAGCCGCGGUAAUACGUAGGGGGCAAGCGUUGUCCGGAUUUACUGGGUGUAAAGGGCGCGCAGGCGGGAUAAAAAGUCAGUGGUGAAAUCCUACAGCUUAACUGUAGAACUGCCUUUGAUACUUUUAUUCUUGAGUACGGGAGAGAGAGACGGAAUUCCAGGUGUAGUGGUGAAAUACGUAGAUAUCUGGAAGAACACCAGUUGCGAAGGCGGUCUCUUGGUCCGACACUGACGCUGAGGCGCGAAAGCGUGGGGAGCAAACG
rnacentral:rRNA from 1 species